rnacentral:rRNA from 1 species
GGAAUUGUUCGCAAUGGGCGCAAGCCUGACGACGCAACGCCGCGUGGAGGAUGAAGGUCUUCGGAUUGUAAACUCCUGCUGACCGGGAAGAACGGUUUCCGACCUAAUACGUUGGAGCAUUGACGGUACCGGGUGCGGAAGCCCAGGCUAACUCUGUGCCAGCAGCCGCGGUAAUACAGGGGUGGCAAGCGUGGUUCGGAAUAACUGGGCGUAAAGGGCGCGUAGGCGGUUGCCUAAGUCGGACGUGAAAUCCCCAAGCUUAACUUGGGAACUGCGUCCGAUACUGGGUGACUUGAGUUCGGGAGAGGAAUGUGGAAUUCCAGGUGUAGCGGUGAAAUGCGUAGAUAUCUGGAGGAACACCGGUGGCGAAGGCGGCAUUCUGGACCGAAACUGACGCUGAGGCGCGAAAGCCAGGGGAGCAAAC